rnacentral:rRNA from 1 species
GUGAGGAAUUUUCCGCAAUGGGCGAAAGCCUGACGGAGCAAUGCCGCGUGAAGGAUGAAGGCCUAUGGGUUGUAAACUUCUUUUCUCAGAAAAGAAUUAUGACGGUAUCUGAGGAAUAAGCAUCGGCUAACUCUGUGCCAGCAGCCGCGGUAAGACAGAGGAUGCAAGCGUUAUCCGGAAUGAUUGGGCGUAAAGCGUCUGUAGGUUGUUUAAAAAGUAUUCUGUCAAAGAUUAGGGCUUAACCCUAGAUAGGCAGAAUAAACUUUUAAGCUAGAGUAUGGUAGAGGCAGAGGGAAUUCCCGGUGGAGCGGUGAAAUGCGUAGAUAUCGGGAGGAACACCAAAGGCGAAGGCACUCUGCUGGGCCAAUACUAACACUGAGAGACGAAAGCGAGGGGAGCAAAUGGGAUUAGAUACCCGUGUAGUCC